GGCUUUGUAUUCAUUUUGUGAUUUCAGAAUGCAAUUCUGAAGGGGUAGAUUUGGUUCUAUCAAGGCCU
rnacentral:tRNA from 2 species